rnacentral:rRNA from 1 species
UACAGAGGGCUCAAGCGUUGUUCGGAUUCAUUGGGCUUAAAGGGUGCGUAGGCGGCGCGGUAAGUCGGGUGUGAAAUCUCGGAGCUUAACUCCGAAACUGCAUUCGAUACUGCCGUGCUUGAGGACUGGAGAGGAGACUGGAAUUUACGGUGUAGCGGUGAAAUGCGUAGAUAUCGUAAGGAAGACCAGUGGCGAAGGCGGGUCUCUGGACAGUUCCUGACGCUGAGGCACGAAGGUCAGGGGAGCAAACGGG